AUUGAACGCUGGCGGCAGGCCUAACACAUGCGAGUCGAGCGGAUGAAGGGAGCUUGCUCCUGGAUUCAGCGGCGGACGGGUGAGUAAUGCCUAGGAAUCUGCCUGGUAGUGGGGGAUAACGUCCGGAAACGGGCGCUAAUACCGCAUACGUCCUGAGGGAGAAAGUGGGGGAUCUUCGGACCUCACGCUAUCAGAUGAGCCUAGGUCGGAUUAGCUAGUUGGUGGGGUAAAGGCCUACCAAGGCGACGAUCCGUAACUGGUCUGAGAGGAUGAUCAGUCACACUGGAACUGAGACACGGUCCAGACUCCUACGGGAGGCAGCAGUGGGGAAUAUUGGACAAUGGGCGAAAGCCUGAUCCAGCCAUGCCGCGUGUGUGAAGAAGGUCUUCGGAUCGUAAAGCACUUUAAGUUGGGAGGAAGGGCAGUAAGUUAAUACCUUGCUGUUUUGACGUUACCAACAGAAUAAGCACCGGCUAACUUCGUG
rnacentral:rRNA from 1 species